rnacentral:rRNA from 1 species
AGAUUGAACUGAAGAGUUUGAUCCUGGCUCAGAUUGAACGCUGGCGGGAUGCUUUACACAUGCAAGUCGGACGGCAGCACGGGCUUCGGCCUGGUGGCGAGUGGCGAACGGGUGAGUAAUGUAUCGGAACGUGCCCAGUAGCGGGGGAUAACUACGCGAAAGCGUGGCUAAUACCGCAUACGCCCUACGGGGGAAAGCGGGGGACCUUCGGGCCUCGCACUAUUGGAGCGGCCGAUAUCGGAUUAGCUAGUUGGUGGGGUAACGGCCUACCAAGGCGACGAUCCGUAGCUGGUUUGAGAGGACGACCAGCCACACUGGGACUGAGACACGGCCCAGACUCCUACGGGAGGCAGCAGUGGGGAAUUUUGGACAAUGGGGGCAACCCUGAUCCAGCCAUCCCGCGUGUGCGAUGAAGGCCUUCGGGUUGUAAAGCACUUUUGGCAGGAAAGAAACGGCACGGGCUAAUAUCCUGUGCAACUGACGGUACCUGCAGAAUAAGCACCGGCUAACUACGUGCCAGCAGCCGCGGUAAUACGUAGGGUGCAAGCGUUAAUCGGAAUUACUGGGCGUAAAGCGUGCGCAGGCGGUUCGGAAAGAAAGAUGUGAAAUCCCAGGGCUUAACCUUGGAACUGCAUUUUUAACUACCGGGCUAGAGUGUGUCAGAGGGAGGUGGAAUUCCGCGUGUAGCAGUGAAAUGCGUAGAUAUGCGGAGGAACACCGAUGGCGAAGGCAGCCUCCUGGGAUAACACUGACGCUCAUGCACGAAAGUGUGGGGAGCAAACAGGAUUAGAUACCCUGGUAGUCCACGCCCUAAACGAUGUCAACUAGCUGUUGGGGCCUUCGGGCCUUGGUAGCGCAGCUAACGCGUGAAGUUGACCGCCUGGGGGAGUACGGUCGCAAGAUUAAAAACUCAAAGGAAUUGACGGGACCCGCACAAGCGGUGGAUGAUGUGGAUUAAUUCGAUGCAACGCGAAAACCUUACCUACCCUUGACAUGUCUGGAAUCCCGAAGAGAUUUGGGAGUGCUCGCAAGAGAACCGGAACACAGGUGCUGCAUGGCUGUCGUCAGCUCGUGUCGUGAGAUGUUGGGUUAAGUCCCGCAACGAGCGCAACCCUUGUCAUUAGUUGCUACGAAAGGGCACUCUAAUGAGACUGCCGGUGACAAACCGGAGGAAGGUGGGGAUGACGUCAAGUCCUCAUGGCCCUUAUGGGUAGGGCUUCACACGUCAUACAAUGGUCGGGACAGAGGGUUGCCAACCCGCGAGGGGGAGCCAAUCCCAGAAACCCGGUCGUAGUCCGGAUCGCAGUCUGCAACUCGACUGCGUGAAGUCGGAAUCGCUAGUAAUCGCGGAUCAGCAUGUCGCGGUGAAUACGUUCCCGGGUCUUGUACACACCGCCCGUCACACCAUGGGAGUGGGUUUUACCAGAAGUAGUUAGCCUAACCGCCAAGGGGGGCGAUUACCACGGUAGGAUUCAUGACUGGGGUGAAGUCGUAACAAGGUAGCCGUAUCGGAAGGUGCGGCUGGAUCACCUCCUUU